rnacentral:rRNA from 1 species
AAUGAACGCUGGCGGUAGGCCUAACACAUGCAAGUCGAGCGGCCGCACAGUGAGCGCUUGCUCUUACGGGUGGCGAGUGGCGGACGGGUGAGGAAUACAUCGGAAUCUACUUUUUCGUGGGGGAUAACGUAGGGAAACUUACGCUAAUACCGCAUACGACCUACGGGUGAAAGCAGGGGAUCUUCGGGCCUUGCGCGAUUGAAUGAGCCGAGGUCGGAUUAGCUAGUUGGCGGGGUAAAGGCCCACCAAGGCGACGAUCCGUAGCGGGUCUGAGAGGAUGAUCAGCCACACUGGAACUGAGACACGGUCCAGACUCCUACGGGAGGCAGCAGUGGGGAAUAUUGGACAAUGGGCGAAAGCCUGAUCCAGCCAUACCGCGUGGGUGAAGAAGGCCUUCGGGUUGUAAAGCCCUUUUGUUGGGAAAGAAAAGAAGCAGGUUAAUACCCCGCUGUUCUGACGGUACCCAAAGAAUAAGCACCGGCUAACUUCGUG